rnacentral:rRNA from 1 species
GAUGAACGCUAGCUACAGGCUUAACACAUGCAAGUCGAGGGGAAACGACAUCGAAAGCUUGCUUUUGAUGGGCGUCGACCGGCGCACGGGUGAGUAACGCGUAUCCAACCUGCCCAUCACUUGGGAAUAACCUUGCGAAAGUAAGACUAAUACCCAAUGACAUCCCACGAAGACAUCUGAAUGGGAUUAAAGAUUUAUCAGUGACGGAUGGGGAUGCGUCUGAUUAGCUUGUUGGCGGGGUAACGGCCCACCAAGGCAACGAUCAGUAGGGGUUCUGAGAGGAAGGUCCCCCACAUUGGAACUGAGACACGGUCCAAACUCCUACGGGAGGCAGCAGUGAGGAAUAGUGGUCAAUGGGCGAGAGCCUGAACCAGCCAAGUAGCGUGCAGGAUGAUGGCCCUAUGGGUUGUAAACUGCUUUUAUAAGGGAAUAAAGUGGGUCUCGUGAGACUUUUUGCAUGUACCUUAUGAAUAAGGACCGGCUAAUUCCGUG